rnacentral:tRNA from 2 species
GGUGAGGUGGGUGAGUGGCUGAAACCACCAGUUUGCUAAACUGACGUACGGGUAACUGUACCGAGGGUUCGAAUCCCUCCCUCACCG